GACCCCCCGCGGUUUGUGACCCCACCCUGUGCCCUGGGUCAGGCUCCUGGGCUUGAGGAUGUCAGGGGGUGGCAAGGGUGGAGCUUUGUGGUCCCAGGGGGUGGGGAGGACACAGGACACAGCUGUCAGCCCUGAGCAGAGGACACCAGGUAGGGCAGGUGCCUGGUUCUGCUCUGAUUACCCCCAGUCUUCUCAGAAAUGGUCCCCAAGCGCCCCCUAGUGUCCAGACUAAGGCAAACCGUUCUAUGAUCAGGUGACCAGAGCCUCUGAGAUUCAGUGCUUCCUCCCCCCGGCCCCGAGUUCUGGCCACUGCCCCCGCUCUCAAGUCCCGGCCCAGUAAGGUGGCACCUGUGUCUCCCUCCUGUGACCUCAGGGCAGUCUUCACGCUCUACUGGACUCCUCAGGAGUGAAUCUGUCCAUGGCUCUUUGGCUGUACAUUGUAGAGGACUCAGAUUUGCAGUCAGAGUCUUCUGGAUACUGUGACCAGGGAUCUUGCCUAGGAUUCUGUCCUCCAAGCACUGAAUGCCUGUCUGUGGGGAAUCUUUGCAAAUGUCUUUGGAGGGUCUCACUUAUGAGCAAAAAGAGCAAAGAUGAUGGAGUCUUGGUCUGUUCCCCAGGCUGGAGUGCAGUGGCACCAUCCCAGCUAAAUGCAACCUCCGCCUCCCAGGUUCAAGCAAUUCUCCUGUCUCAGCCUCCCAAGUAGCUGGAAUUACAGGCACGUGCCACCAUGCCCGGCUAAUUUUUGUAUUUUUUAAGUAGAGACGGGGUUUCACCAUGUUGGCCAGGUCUCGAACCCCUGACCUUGUGAUCGGCCCACCUCGGACUCCCAAAGUGCUGGGAUUACAGGCAUGGGCCAUUGCACCCGGCCACAAUGAGAUUUUAAAUGCUCCAUUUAAACAACCAAAUAGUGAGAUUUAUUACAGGCAUUUAAUAAAACCAAUCCAUAUCUGUAACCGAAAUAAAAUGUAUGCUGUGUUUUGGGAUUGCA